AUGCACAAUAGUUACACUUACGUCUAUGUUUAUUCAAUCACAAAGACUUUUGGGCUUUUUCCACAGUCCAAAAAAGUCCUGAAUUUGACACAAACGCCACUCCAAGAGGUUAUUGGGUACUACCAAAUGCUGGGCUUUUCAAGAAACAUACACAUUAAAGUACAUGCCUCCGAUGAGGAACUCUCAAAUAAGUCGGAGGUAAACCCAUGUUUAUCGAGUGGACAUGUGACAAAUGGCCAGUUCUCAUUUAAUAUGGUUGCAUGUGAUUUCCAAAUGAUGCAGCAAACUAAAGAAACUAAGGGCAGAUAA
rnacentral:rRNA from 1 species